UGCCAGCCGCCGCGGUAAUACGAAGGGAACUAGCGUUGUUCGGAUUUACUGGGCGUAAAGAGCAUGUAGGCGGAUUGGACAGUUGGAGGUGAAAUCCCGGAGCUCAACUCCGGAACUACCUUCAAUACUUCCAGUCUAGAAUCUGUAAGGGGGUGGUGGAAUUCCGAGUGUAGAGGUGAAAUUCGCAGAUAUUUGGAAGAACACCAGAGGCGAAGGCGGCUCACUGGCUCGAUACCGACGCUGAGGUGCGAAAGUGUGGGGAGCAAACAGGAUUAGAUA
rnacentral:rRNA from 1 species